rnacentral:rRNA from 1 species
UGGGGAAUAUUGGACAAUGGGCGCAAGCCUGAUCCAGCCAUGCCGCGUGAGUGAUGAAGGCCCUAGGGUUGUAAAGCUCUUCCAACGGUGAAGAUAAUGACGGUAACCGUAGAAGAAGCCCCGGCUAACUUCGUGCCAGCAGCCGCGGUAAUACGAAGGGGGCUAGCGUUGUUCGGAAUUACUGGGCGUAAAGCGCACGUAGGCGGAUACUUAAGUCAGGGGUGAAAUCCCGGGGCUCAACCCCGGAACUGCCUUUGAUACUGGGUAUCUGGAGUCCGGAAGAGGUGAGUGGAAUUCCGAGUGUAGAGGUGAAAUUCGUAGAUAUUCGGAGGAACACCAGUGGCGAAGGCGGCUCACUGGUCCGGUACUGACGCUGAUGCGCGAAAGCGUGGGGAGCAAACAGGAUUAGAUACCCGAGUAGUCCCUGAGCGGGCUGGCAAGGCGCAU